rnacentral:rRNA from 1 species
GGAUGCGAUCAUACCAGCACUAAUGCACCGGAUCCCAUCAGAACUCCGAAGUUAAGCGUGCUUUGGCGAAGAGUGUUCUUUUCUCGGUUUGCGCGUGAGAAGGGGUCAAGUACAUUUU